rnacentral:tRNA from 1 species
GGCCCAAUGGUCUAGUAGUAUGAUACGUGCUUCGGGCUUUACCGCCACCCCACUCCAUGGGGAUAGUUGCACGGGGUCCCGGGUUCAAUUCCCGGUUGGGCCC